CAGGCAGAUCCCCGCUGAUGGUGUAGCGGAUCGGGACCAGGAGGGCGCCGGUUCAAAUCCGGCCUGCCCGG
rnacentral:tRNA from 1 species